rnacentral:pre_miRNA from 1 species
CAUCUUACCAGGCAGAUUUAGAGUGAAAUCUCGAAACGUCUAAUACUGUCAGGUAAAGAUGUU